GCCUCGGUAGUGUAACGCCAGAUUGGAUAUCUGGAGGUGCGGGUUCGAGUCCAGCCUGAGUUU
rnacentral:tRNA from 1 species